GCCCGUGUAGCUCAGUGGACCAGAGCGCCUGCCUACGGAGCAGGAUGUCGCAGGUUCGAGUCCUGCCACGGGUAC
rnacentral:tRNA from 1 species